rnacentral:rRNA from 1 species
AACGAACGCUGGCGGCAGGCUUAACACAUGCAAGUCGAGCGAGACCUUCAGGUCUAGCGGCGGACGGGUGAGUAACGCGUGGGAACGUGCCCUUCUCUACGGAAUAGCCCCGGGAAACUGGGAGUAAUACCGUAUACGCCCUUUGGGGGAAAGAUUUAUCGGAGAAGGAUCGGCCCGCGUUGGAUUAGGUAGUUGGUGGGGUAAUGGCCCACCAAGCCGACGAUCCAUAGCUGGUUUGAGAGGAUGAUCAGCCACACUGGGACUGAGACACGGCCCAGACUCCUACGGGAGGCAGCAGUGGGGAAUCUUAGACAAUGGGGGCAACCCUGAUCGAGCCAUGCCGCGUGAGUGAUGAAGGCCUUAGGGUUGUAAAGCUCUUUCAGCUGGGAAGAUAAUGACGGUACCAGCAGAAGAAGCCCCGGCUAACUCCGUG